rnacentral:tRNA from 9 species
AGGGGUUUAGUAUAAUGGUAGUACCGCAGUCUCCAAAACUGCUCGCAUGGGUUCGAUUCCUAUAACCCCUGCCA